CGGGGUGCAGCAGGCGCGAAAACUUUACAAUGCCGGCAACGGCGAUAAGGGAACCUCGAGUGCCAGGUUACAAAUCUGGCUGUCGUGAUGCCUAAAAAGCAUUGCAUAGCAAGGGCCGGGCAAGACCGGUGCCAGCCGCCGCGGUAACACCGGCGGCUCGAGUGGUAACCGCUAUUAUUGGGUCUAAAGGGUCUGUAGCCGGCUUGGUUAGUCUCUUGGGAAAUCCGGCAGCUUAACUGUCGGGCUUUCAGGAGAUACUGCCAGGCUCGAGACCGGGAGAGGUGAGAGGUACUUCAUGGGUAGGGGUGAAAUCUUGUAAUCCUUGAAGGACCACCAGUGGCGAAGGCGUCUCACCAGAACGGAUCUGACGGCAAGGGACGAAAGCUAGGGGCACGAACCGGAUUAGAUACCCGGGUAGUCCUAGCCGUAAACGAUACUCGCUAGGUGUCGGCCACGGUGCGACCGUGGUCGGUGCCGUAGGGAAGCCGUGAAGCGAGCCACCUGGGAAGUACGGCCGCAAGGCUGAAACUUAAAGGAAUUGGCGGGGGAGCAC
rnacentral:rRNA from 1 species